UUCAUUUCUACUAAAUAUCUAAGUAAGAUAAACGGUGUUUAUUGAAACAUGGAAAACAUUGUUUUGAUAUCGUCAUUCUUUGCUGGAGUGUAUGCAGGAUCCUGCUACUACGAACAUAAGGAGGUCCUGACUCCAAAUCCCUUUGAAUUUUACUACAGCAAUUCCUAUAAUUAUGAGUACUGUCUUGCUGGCUGUUGUGGCGCCUAUAAACCUGGUAGGAUUAAACACUGCUGUGACUCGACAGGAGCUACAAUUGGGAUUCUGGUUGCUGUGGUAGUGUUCGUUGCAUUUAUUGUCACAGCUGGUUUCGUGUAUAGGCGAAGACGACGACUGUUACUGGCUAACGCUGGAUCGACUGAACAAAACAGAUCGGUGACACCAGGUUCUAUGUCGGAGCCGUCAACAGAUAGUCAUACUCAUUAUUAAAGUCAACACAUACCAAUUACCAACAAACAGGAACCGGAAAUGGAUGUCCUUACCUCAGUAAUGAAUAACGCCUGCAUUAUAGACAAAAUACUGCUUAGUUUGCAAGAGAUAUGAUAGUUUUGUAUUCUAUUUACUUAAUAUACGGUUUUUUAAGAUUGUAUAUUGUUUUGAUGGUUUUUUUUCGCAAUUGAGUUGGUUAUGUUUUUA